rnacentral:rRNA from 1 species
UACGUAGGGUGCAAGCGUUAAUCGGAAUUACUGGGCGUAAAGCGUGCGCAGGCGGUUUUUGUAAGUCUGUCGUGAAAUCCCCGGGCUCAACCUGGGAAUUGCGAUGGAGACUGCAAGGCUAGAAUCUGGCAGAGGGGGGUAGAAUUCCACGUGUAGCAGUGAAAUGCGUAGAGAUGUGGAGGAACACCGAUGGCGAAGGCAGCCCCCCUGGGUCAAGAUUGACGCUCAUGCAC